rnacentral:rRNA from 1 species
GAUGAACGCUAGCGGCAGGCUUAAUACAUGCAAGUCGAGGGGCAGCAUGACUGUAGCAAUACAGUUGAUGGCGACCGGCAAACGGGUGCGGAACACGUACAGAACCUUCCUUCGAGCGGGGAAUAGCCCAGAGAAAUUUGGAUUAAUACCCCAUAGUACAACGGAGUGGCAUCACUUUGUUGUUAAAGAUUUAUCACUUGAAGAUGGCUGUGCGGCUGAUUAGGUAGUUGGCGGGGUAACGGCCCACCAAGCCUGCGAUCAGUAACUGGUGUGAGAGCACGACCAGUCACACGGGCACUGAGACACGGGCCCGACUCCUACGGGAGGCAGCAGUAAGGAAUAUUGGUCAAUGGACGAAAGUCUGAACCAGCCAUGCCGCGUGGAGGAUGAAGGUCCUCUGGAUUGUAAACUUCUUUUAUAUGGGACGAAAAAGGGUUUUCUAACUCGUCUGACGGUACCAUAUGAAUAAGCACCGGCUAACUCCGUGCCAGCAGCCGC